rnacentral:lncRNA from 1 species
CUGUCAGCAUUUUAAACACCUGACUGAAACAGGAGAAGUUGCAGCCCAGCACAUACUGUGGGCCUCAAUCUAUGUGGAUCCAACAGUGUCACAGCACACACUGUGGGCAUGAAUUUAGGCAGAACCAAACAGAUGAACAAUAGAUGAACUGGAGCUACUCAAAGGAGAUCCAGGCUUGUCUGGGUGAUUAAAGCUGGAUUGGUGUUCUGUGAGCAGCUCUCCUGGACACAGACAGUUUCAUUAUCUGCAUGAACUGGUGAUGUGGGCAUUGCUGUAGAAGAGAAAGCAAGCAAAGGGUUUUCAAGCUGCAUCCCCUGCCUGUGUGACACAGAUGGACAUUGCCAGCAGAAAUGGUUCACGAGAGGAAGAGGAUUUCCGUUCAUCUUUCCAACUGAAGUUGAGGUCCUAUGAGUGCAUGGACAUUGGAAGCCAUAUGUGUUUGGAUGUUGACCAUGGAGAUGAACCACAGGCUCACCCCUGAGCCACCAGAGAGAGAAAUAUGUAUGGCUGACUACUUGCUAACCUUACAUCAGGAUAUACAAUCUGUUUACACACAUUUAACAUGGCUGAACACCUUGCCACACCCAUUCACCAGGCACCAGUGCUUGUGUUUUGCUGAAGCUGAGAUACUUGCAGGAUGGAUGUGUGUGUGUGUGUGUGUGUGUGUGUGUGUGUGUGUGUGUGUAUGUAUGUGUGUGUGUGUGUGUUGAGCUCUGUGAUCAAUCAAUAGAAUUGACAAGGCAGGGCAGAGCCUCCAUAGAAUAGAAAAAGAUGAGAGGUGGGAGGGGUCGCUCUGGAGAACCCACUUCAGCCUGUGUAUUGUCUGGUGCUUGUCUUUGAGGGCCCCAAGCCAUUUGCUUGUGUUCAUUUCACAUACGACUCACUUCCGGGAAGAUCAGCCUGCUCCUACUCAAUGAAUCCCAAAACAUGGGAUGCUUCCUUCUGUGAUGUCCCUCGCUAUUAUGGAAUAGGGCCUGAGAAGACAACGGUGAACCCCGCUUUGGCUCGUAUGAGGCAUCAUGGUACAGAGUGGAGGUAGUCACAGGGAGUAAGAAAACGUAGGCAGGUCAUGCUGAGUUGUGGAGGGUGCUCAGAUCUCCAUGGUGUCCAGUCAUUUUAGGGUAGAACUCCAGGGUCCUCCUGUGUGACCAAAUCUUUGUUUCUUUACUUCAGAAGCAAAUUCUUUAGUUGAAAGAUACAAACUGAUCCGUACUUUGAAGAUUAUUGUAGAAUCCUUCACUUUUGUGAAGAGCUUAUAACUAUUAUAAGUUUAUAAUUGGCAUAAAAUGCACAGAGUCACUCUGCAGAGUCUGCAGAGUCAGAACGUGACACGCCCCAUGAGGACCUAGCACCAGGAGUGCUGGUGACUGGCUGGUUUGGUAAAUUUGUCAACAGCAGAAGGUUUCUUCCAGCUGGCUCCCAGAGAUGUGUUUGCAUCUGAGAAUUGGCUUAUCAGUGAACUGCUAGUCCCCACAUUGAUUUAGGGCAAAUUAAUCUUUGAUUAAUUGACCCUAAGUCCAGUCUUCCACUUGAGAUUUUUAAUUAAACUUUUAAUUUUGGUAUGAUUGUGGAUCCACACACAGUUUUAAGAUGCAAUGCAGAAUCUCUGGUAUUCUUCCUUUGGUUUCCUUGGGAGUAACUAGUUAUAAACCAUAGGACAGUUUGAAUAUCAGGACAGUGAUAGGAAUACAGUCCAGACCCAGGACACCUACCCUUCCAUAUGCCCCAUCUCUCCUGAGACCACAGUCUUUGUUACAAUUUCCAUUGGAGUGAUAAAACACCAUGGCCAAUAAACAAUUUGGGUAAAAAAAAAAGGUUUAUUUGAGCUUACAGUUACAUAUUACAGAUGAUUAUUGGAAGAAGUCAGGGCAGGAAGUUUGGAAUGGAGAUGGGUUAGUGAGCUGUGGCUCUGGACCUCCCAAAGACUGCAAAGAACUCUCUU